rnacentral:rRNA from 1 species
GUGGCGAACGGGUGAGUAACGCGUGAGAAUUUGCCUUUAGGAAGAGGACAACAAUUAGAAAUAGUUGCUAAAACUCUAUAUGCCGCAAGGUGAAAAAAGCAAUUUGCCUAAAGAGAAGCUCGCGUCUGAUUAGCUAGUUGGUGGGGUAAAGGCCUACCAAGGCGACGAUCAGUAGCUGGUUUGAGAGAACGAUCAGCCACAUUGGAACUGAGACACGGUCCAGACUUCUACGGAAGGCAGCAGUGAGGAAUUUUCUGCAAUGGGCGAAAGCCUGACAGAGCAAUACCGCGUGAAGGAUGACGGCCUAUGGGUUGUAAACUUCUUUUAUCAAGGAGGAAGAACUGACGCUACUUGAUGAAUAAGCAUCGGCUAACCCUGUGCCAGCAGCCGCGGUAAUACAGGGGAUGCAAGUGUUAUCCGGAAUCAUUGGGCGUAAAGCGUCUGUAGGCGGAUAUUUAAGUCUUUUGUUAAAGAUCUAGGCUUAACCUGGAAAAUGCAAAAGAAACUAUAUAUCUCGAGUAUGGUAGAGGUAAAGGGAAUUUCCAGUGGAGCGGUGAAAUGCGUAGAGAUUGGAAAGAACACCAAGAGCGAAGGCACUUUACUGGGCCAGUACUGACGCUGAGAGACGAAAGCUAGGGGAGCGAACAGGAUUAGAUACCCUGGUAGUCCUAGCUGUAAACGAUGGAUACUAGAUGCUGUGUAUUUUCCGAAAUAUACAGUGUCGUAGCUAACGCGUUAAGUAUCCCGCCUGGGA